UACAGAGGUCUCAAGCGUUGUUCGGAUUCAUUGGGCGUAAAGGGUGCGUAGGCGGCGCGGUAAGUCGGGUGUGAAAUCUCGGAGCUUAACUCCGAAACUGCAUUCGAUACUGCCGUGCUUGAGGACUGGAGAGGAGACUGGAAUUUACGGUGUAGCAGUGAAAUGCGUAGAUAUCGUAAGGAAGACCAGUGGCGAAGGCGAGUCUCUGGACAGUUACCGACGCUGAGGCACGAAGGUCAGGGGGAGCAAACGGG
rnacentral:rRNA from 1 species